GCGCCGGGAGCCCGGGCGGCUGGCCGGGGAGGCCUGGCGUUGGGGAGGGACGGGGAUGGCCGCGGGCGGCGUUCCCCUCCCGGCUAUGGGCGACCCCACGACCCGGCUGGGCGUGGCCGCCCGCACUUAGCCCGCGCUUCCCGCUCCCGCUGGGCGCCCCGCCACUUCCUGAGGCUGGGCCCGGGGUGGGGGAUCCGGGAGGGUGCAGCUCGGGGUCGCGGAGGCAGCCCCGUUGGGGGCGGGCGGGCCGGGGUCGCCACAUCUUAGUUCGGAUCCCGGGCGAGGGCAAAGGGUACCGUAGGGGACGCGAAGGAGCCGCAUUCCUCCUCCUAGAGCGUUUCACCGGACCCGGGGGCUCCCCCUCUCGUCUUCCUCCGUUCCUCAACUUGGAAUAAAGAAUCACCUAGUGAGACGAAUCUGUGUGCCUUUGCAUUCCCGAGACCCUCAUAAGUCGAUUCUGCAGCUUCUUCUCCGGUGGAGGAGUCGUGCCCAGCCACACCCUAGCAAAAUAUCGUGGAUCACACACCACCUGCAUUUCUGAGUUCCGGUUACCAUCUCACUCUCUUCACGUUAUUUUACGUUUUCUCUAAAUGAGUAUUUCCUCUCCCUGUGUCAAGGUCACACAGUGAUAGAACUACAACUGCGGCCACCAUCCUGCUAUGUUCAGUGUACAACCUCCUGAGACCUGGGAGGAUCCCCUUGAACCCCACCUUAGACCUAUAGAUUCAGAAAUUCGGGGGUGAGACUCAUAUCUGCAUUGUAACCAGCUCUCACAGGCGAUUUUUAGCUGGCUUAAGUCUGAGAAUUACCGCCCAUGACUGUAGUAAAUGUAUCCUUUGCUGGCCUUUUGGAGGGAGUUCCGAAAAAACUGCAAAUACAAAGGCUCCCUAAAAUCUUAAGUCAUUUGGAAAGCUCAUUUGAAGGCUUUUGACGUUAAUGUCAGACGAAAUAUGUAGUUGGGGCUAAUAUUUAGGAUAGUUCAGGUAAGAAAGGUACUUGAAGAGUUGCCUUUCCUGUGGUGUCCUUGUUACACACAACUAGGUGUGUUUGGAGACCAGCAACACCGUUGCCCAUAUGUUGAUGUGUUGGUCAUCUUGACUUCAGCACUAUUAGCAUGCUGUUUUGGUGAGACAGGAGGUUUUCUUCCACACCGGGGGGCCGUCUAGGUCUGCAGGCUGAACUUCAUGUAAUUCAAGGAGUCCUUUAAAAGAAAAUCUAAAAUAUAAUUUUUGCGUAUUGUACAGAAAUGGGACUGACUGAAUGCAUUUCCUUGGAAGGGAUCCUGAACCUUAAUUUUCUUUGGGAUAAAGCUGCCUCUGUCCACAGAAGGUCACACUUAAAACUCUCCUCCCCAGUUACUGAGUGGUGCUGGGAUUAUGCAGGCUGAGGCCUCGCCACACAUUUUCAUGAAGUGGUUGCUCACCCUCUAAGUGAGACGUAAAGACUGCAGUGUUAGGAGCCCUUUGGGAAAUAAAUGUGGUGAAAAGAAAGGAGGGACAAGGUUUAAAGGAAGGGGAAUGGAGGUGAAGGAAAAAUGGCUAGAAGGUGCGUUCUGGAACAAUCAGAAACCUGAGGCAACUUGAAAUGGGGGAAAAAGGCAAGAAUGGAGAGAUGUUACCAGAACGAAAUCUAGUUUGAGUAGAGAAAAAGAUUGGCUUUCUAGUAGGCUUGUAAAAUGCUUUCCUGCAGCUAGCUACUAGUGUCCAUAGAUCUUCUCUGGAGGGUUAAGGUAGCCUUUUGUAAACCAAAGGAAUCUAUAAUAUCUAUAUUUGAAAUAAUGAGUUGGAAAAGCCAGCCAGCAUUGAAGAGUCAAUCCAAGCUUUAAUUCUGCCAUCUCAGAAUUGUGAUAAACCAUUUCUUCUCCAUCAUCUAAAUGUAAUAUAUUGUGCUUAUAAAUAUUUUCUUUAAAAGAAAAAUAAUAUGUUGGAAAGGACUGGCAGGGGUCACUUUCCCUGCUAAAUUGGUGUUUGUAGAUUAAAUUCUUAAUGUUACUGGGAUGACUCAGUCUCUAUUUUAUUAAUCUCUUUUGGAAAGGGUGUAAAUUUCAGUAAUCCUCUGGGUUUACCUGGGCUUUCUUCAGGGCUGUGGAGGUAAGUAGCCUGUUGUAGGGAGGAUGGAGCAGGACACCUGUGUUGAGGAUAUAUUCUGAUGCCACCAGUCUGUAACCUUGAAACUUAAUCUUGGCUUUAGGUCCUCUGAAGUAUAAAACUAGUGAUGUUAUUAACAAGUCAGUUUUGCCUUUGGUCUUCUAACUUGCUUUCUGUUUCCUUCAUAAUUAAAAUGCUCACCUGAUAA